GAUGAACGCUGGCGGCGUGCCUAAUACAUGCAAGUCGAGCGAACGGACGAGAGGCUUGCUUCUCUGAUGUUAGCGGCGGACGGGUGAGUAACACGUGGAUAACCUACCUAUAAGACUGGGAUAACUUCGGGAAACCGGAGCUAAUACCGGAUAAUAUUUUGAACCGCAUGGUUCAAAAGUGAAAGACGGUCUUGCUGUCACUUAUAGAUGGAUCCGCGCUGCAUUAGCUAGUUGGUAAGGUAACGGCUUACCAAGGCAACGAUGCAUAGCCGACCUGAGAGGGUGAUCGGCCACACUGGAACUGAGACACGGUCCAGACUCCUACGGGAGGCAGCAGUAGGGAAUCUUCCGCAAUGGGCGAAAGCCUGACGGAGCAACGCCGCGUGAGUGAUGAAGGUCUUCGGAUCGUAAAACUCUGUUAUUAGGGAAGAACAUAUGUGUAAGUAACUGUGCACAUCUUGACGUUACCUAAUCAGAAAGCCACGGCUAACUACGUG
rnacentral:rRNA from 1 species